UACGUAGGGUGCGAGCGUUGUCCGGAAUUAUUGGGCGUAAAGGGCUUGUAGGCGGUUUGUCGCGUCUGCUGUGAAAAUCCGGGGCUCAACCCCGGACUUGCAGUGGGUACGGGCAGACUAGAGUGUGGUAGGGGAGACUGGAAUUCCUGGUGUAGCGGUGAAAUGCGCAGAUAUCAGGAGGAACACCGGUGGCGAAGGCGGUGGUCUGGGCCGGCACUGACGCUGAGGAGCGAAAGCGUGGGGAGCAAACAGG
rnacentral:rRNA from 1 species